rnacentral:ncRNA from 1 species
UGUACAAUCGUUGAGAUUUGAGAAGUUUCGUCCCUAGUACGAGAGGACUGGGAUGAGGGAAUCCCUGGUGUGCCAGUUGUUUCUGAAUAAGAGCAUCGCUGGGUAGCUAGAUUCCCAACCGAUAACCGCUGAAAGCAUCUAAGUGGGAAGCGGUCUUCAAGAUUAGAUCUCGUGCAGUCUAUAAGACUGCGGAAACCCCUGGAAGAUUACCAGGUUGAUAGGCGGGCGGUGUAAGUGCUGUGAAGCAUUAAGCCUACCCGUACUAAUGGUUUGAAUAUAGAUUUA